rnacentral:miRNA from 1 species
GGGAAGUAGAAGUGGGUGG